rnacentral:rRNA from 1 species
AGUGAACGCUGGCGGUAGGCCUAACACAUGCAAGUCGAACGGCAGCACAGUAAGAGCUUGCUCUUACGGGUGGCGAGUGGCGUACGGGUGAGGAAUACAUCGUAAUCUACUUUUUCGUGGGGGAUAACGUAGGGAAACUUACGCUAAUACCGCAUACGACCUACGGGUGAAAGCAGGGGAUCUUCGGACCUUUCGCGAUUGAAUGAGCCGAUGUCGGAUUAGCUAGUUGGCGGGGUAAAGGCCCACCAAGGCGACGAUCCGUAGCUGGGCUGAGAGGAUGAUCAGCCACACAGGAAGUGAGACACGGUCCAGACUCCGACGGGAGGCAGCAGUGGGGAAGAUUGGGCAAUGGGCGCAAGCCUGAUCCAGCCAUACCGCGUGGGUGAAGAAGGCCUUCGGGUUGUAAAGCCCUUUUGUUGGGAAAGAAAAGCAGCAGGUUAAUACCCCGCUGUUCUGACGGUACCCAAAGAAUAAGCACCGGCUAACUUCGU